CCUACGGGAGGCUGCAGUGAGGAAUAUUGGUCAAUGGACGAGAGUCUGAACCAGCCAAGUAGCGUGAAGGAUGACUGCCCUAUGGGUUGUAAACUUCUUUUAUAUGGGAAUAAACUGUUCCACGUGUGGGAUUUUGUAUGUACCAUAUGAAUAAGGAACGGCUAACUCCGUGCCAGCAGCCGCGGUACUACGGGGGAUGCGAUCGUUGUCCGGAUUUAAUGGGUGUAAAGGGAACGUAGGUGGAUUGUUAAGUCAGUUGUGAAAGUUUGCGGCUCAACCGUAAAAUUGCAGUUGAGACUGGCAGUCUUGAGUACAGUAGAGGUGGGCGGAAUUCGUGGUGUAGCGGUGAAAUGCUUAGAUAUCACGAAGAACUCCGAUUGCGAAGGCAGUUCACUGGACUGCAACUGACACUGAGGCGCGAAAGUGUGGGUAUCAAACAGGAUUAGAUACCCUAGUAGUC
rnacentral:rRNA from 1 species